UACAGAGGUCUCAAGCGUUGUUCGGAUUCAUUGGGCGUAAAGGGUGCGUAGGUGGCGCGCUAAGUCAGGUGUGAAAUUUCGGAGCUUAACUCCGAAACUGCAUUUGAUACUGGCGUGCUUGAGGACUGGAGAGGAGACUGGAAUUCACGGUGUAGCAGUGAAAUGCGUAGAGAUCGUGAGGAAGACCAGUGGCGAAGGCGAAUCUCUGGACAGUUACUGACACUGAGGCACGAAGGCCAGGGGAGCAAACGGG
rnacentral:rRNA from 1 species